rnacentral:rRNA from 1 species
UAAGACGAACCGUGCGAACGUUGUUCGGAAUCACUGGGCUUAAAGGGCGCGUAGGCGGGUCGAAAAGUCCGGGGUGAAAUCCCUCCGCUCAACGGGGGAACGGCCUCGGAUACUGUCGGCCUGGAGGGGGAUAGGGGCGAGCGGAACGCUGGGUGGAGCGGUGAAAUGCGUUGAUAUCCAGCGGAACUCCGGUGGCGAAGGCGGCUCGCUGGAUCCUUACUGACGCUGAGGCGCGAAAGCCAGGGGAGCGAACGGGAUUAGAUACCCCGGUAGUCCUGGCCCUAAACGAUGGGGACUAGGUAGUCGGCCGGCAUGGGCUGACUGCCGGAGCCAAAGUGCUAAGUCCCCCGCCUGGGGAGUAUGGCCGCAAGGCUG